AACGAACGCUGGCGGCAGGCCUAACACAUGCAAGUCGAGCGAAGCCUUCGGGCUUAGCGGCGGACGGGUGAGUAACGCGUGGGAACGGGCCCUUUGGUACGGAAUAGCCCCGGGAAACUGGGAGUAAUACCGUAUGUGGUCGAGAGACGAAAGAUUUAUCGCCAAAGGAUUGGCCCGCGUUGGAUUAGGUAGUUGGUGGGGUAAUGGCCUACCAAGCCGCCGAUCCAUAGCUGGUUUGAGAGGAUGAUCAGCCACACUGGGACUGAGACACGGCCCAGACUCCUACGGGAGGCAGCAGUGGAGAAUCUUAGACAAUGGGGGAAACCCUGAUCUAGCCAUGCCGCGUGAUCGAUGAAGGCCUUAGGGUUGUAAAGAUCUUUCAGUGGGGAAGAUAAUGACUGUGCCCACAGAAGAAGCCCCGGCUAACUCCGUGCCAGCCGCCGCAGUAAGAC
rnacentral:rRNA from 1 species